CAGAGUAGUUCACCACUAUGGAGCAUAGUGGUACAUUCCUGAUCAGAGUAGUUCCACCACUAUGGAGCAUAGUGGUACAUUCCUGAUCAGAGUAUUCCACCACUAUGGAGCACAGUGGUACAUUCCUGAUCAACAGCUGUGUUUUGUCUCAAAUCCAAUCCAAACAUUCCAGGGUGUUCCAAUUAGGAACGGACAGUCCACUGCCCAGGCUUGGUUUGUCUUAUGGGUAUUCUUACUGUAUUCCUAGGCGUUGUUUGUCUUACAGGUAUUAUUACUGUAUUCCUAGGCGUUGUUUGUCUUACAGGUAUUAUUACUGUAUUCCUAGGCGUUGUUUGUCUUACAGGUAUUAUUACUGUAUUCCUAGUACAGUAAAGGAUGCAACAGCUAUCUGAAAUAAGUGAGAGAGCUAUUCCAAUGCUUUAGGAUGUUGAGUGUGGGUUGAAGAAGGUGAAACCUGGAUUGUUCUAGCAUUUUAUACUGUGUCUACAAAUGAGGAAGGUCAUUUAAGAGUGCUCCUAUGGGAUAAAAAAGAUAGGUGAGGGCAUCUUUGUUGCAUUUAAGAGGUAAAAAUAACCAGCUCCACUUAGAAAGAGCAUCUUUGUGAAUUAGCUAACCAGCAGCAUGAUAGGACACAUUUCAUUGGGAGUGUCAGGUAGACAAUGAAUAGGAAAUGGGAUACUGGGAAAGGGGGAUACCUAGUCAGUUGUACACCAUAACAUGUGAUUAUUGUUACAUUAUCUUGUGU